rnacentral:misc_RNA from 1 species
AAAGAUCGCAGCCUUCGGCAGCUCCUACAGGGGGACGCAUUCCAAUGUGGGAGCUGCCGAAGGCUGCGACCUUU